rnacentral:rRNA from 1 species
GCCGUAAACGAUGUCGACUUGGAGGCUGUUCCCUUGAGGAGUGGCUUCCGGAGCUAACGCGUUAAGUCGACCGCCUGGGGAGUACGGCCGCAAGGUUAAAACUCAAAUGAAUUGACGGGGGCCCGCACAAGCGGUGGAGCAUGUGGUUUAAUUCGAUGCAACGCGAAGAACCUUACCUACUCUUGACAUCCACGGAAUUUGGCAGAGAUGCCUUAGUGCCUUCGGGAACCGUGAGACAGGUGCUGCAUGGCUGUCGUCAGCUCGUGUUGUGAAAUGUUGGGUUAAGUCCCGCAACGAGCGCAACCCUUAUCCUUUGUUGCCAGCGAUUCGGUCGGGAACUCAAAGGAGACUGCCGGUGAUAAACCGGAGGAAGGUGGGGAUGACGUCAAGUCAUCAUGGCCCUUACGAGUAGGGCUACACACGUGCUACAAUGGCGCAUACAAAGAGAAGCGACCUCGCGAGAGCAAGCGGACCUCAUAAAGUGCGUCGUAGUCCGGAUCGGAGUCUGCAACUCGACUCCGUGAAGUCGGAAUCGCUAGUAAUCGUGGAUCAGAAUGCCACGGUGAAUACGUUCCCGGGCCUUGUACACACCGCCCGUCACACCAUGGGAGUGGGUUGCAAAAGAAGUAGGUAGCUUAACCUUCGGGAGGGCGCUUACCACUUUGUGAUUCAUGACUGGGGUGAAGUCGUAACAAGGUAGC